UCCGGUUCGUCACCGGCAGUCUCAUUAGAGUGCCCUUUCGUAGCAACUAAGGGCAAGGGUUGCGCUCGUUGCGGGACUUAACCCAACAUCUCACGACACGAGCUGACGACAGCCAUGCAGCACCUCUAGAGUAGUCCGGUAAAGGACAUUGACAUCUCUGCCAACUUCCACUCCAGUUCAAGCCCAGGUAAGGUUCUUCGCGUUGCGUCGAAUUGAACCACAUGCUCCACCGCUUGUGCGGGCCCCCGUCAAUUCCUUUGAGUUUCCGCCUUGCGACCGUACUCCCCAGGCGGGAUACUUAAUGCGUUAGCUUCGGCACGGGAGGAUUUAACACCCCCCACACCAAGUAUCCAUCGUUUAGGGCUAGGACUAC
rnacentral:misc_RNA from 1 species